GAUGAAGAACGUAGCGAAAUGCGAUAAGUAAUGUGAAUUGCAGAAUUCAGUGAAUCAUCGAAUCUUUGAACGCACAUUGCGCCCGCCGGCAUUCUGGCGGGCAUGCCUGUUCGAGCGUCAUUUCAACCCUCAGGCCCCCAGUGCCUGGUGUUGGGGAUCGGCCCAGCCUUCCUGUAAGGCCGCCGGCCCCGAAAUCUAGUGGCGGUCUCGCUGUAGUCCUCCUCUGCGUAGUAGCACAACCUCGCAGUUGGAACGCGGCGGUGGCCAUGCCGUUAAACACCCCACUUCUGAAAGUUGACCUCGGAUCAGGUAGGAAUACCCGCUGAACUUAAGCAUAUCAAUAAGCGGAGGA
rnacentral:misc_RNA from 1 species